rnacentral:lncRNA from 1 species
GGUGCAUAAGGAAAACCCUACUGUAGACAACUCUUCAGUCGAACAGAGCUGAGAAGUCUCAUACUGGAUGGGGUAUCGAGGUGGUGGUAUGUUUGGCACCCAUUACCAGAUGAGAUAUGAGAACGACCGAUUGAUUGAUAAUUUAAAUAUUGAUUUCACGCGUAGGAGAACGUCCCUAUGGACCCCUAGAGAUACUAGUAAGCAGGUAAG